CCUACGGUGGGCAGCAGUGAGGAAUAUUGGUCCAUGGGCGUAAGCCUGAACCAUCCAAGUCGCGUGAGGGAUGAAGGUUCUAUGGAUCGUAAACCUCUUUUAUAAGGGAAUAACGUGCGGGACGUGUCCCGUUUUGUAUGUACCUUAUGAAUAAGGAUCGGCUAACUCCGUGCCAGCAGCCGCGGUAAUACGGAGGUUCCGAGCGUUAUCCGGAUUUAUUGGGUUUAAAGGGUGCGUAGGCGGCCUUUUAAUUCAGCGGUGAAAGUCUGUGGCUCAACCAUAGAAUUGCCGUUGAAACUGGGAGGUUGGAGUAUGUUUGAGGCAGGCGGAAGGCGUGGUGUAGCGGGGAAAUGCUUAGAUAUCACGCAGAACCCCGAUUGCGAAGGCAGCCUGACAAGCCAUGACUGACGCUGAUGCACGAAAGCGUGGGGAUCAAACAGGAUUAGAGACCCGAGUAGUC
rnacentral:rRNA from 1 species